GCUUUGGAAAAAAGAAAAGCAAUCAAAUAAUUAAAGGGGUAGUGCAGUAGAAAGUCCUGACUUUCACAAAGGUUGCUAAUCUUUUGUGUGCCUGUCCAUUUUUUGUCAUUUUUGGAGUCACCAAAUAGUAAAAAAUCUGUGCCGUAGUAUUAUGCAAUCUGCACUUGCUUACAAAAUACUGAUGCUGAAAUCCAUGCAUCCCUCUGAAAAAUCACCAGGUCACAAAAUAUUGCUCCAUCAGUUUCAGUGUUAAAGUCACAUUUAACUACAGAGUAACACUUUAUUUUGUGCACAUAACUUCAGAGUAAUAUUUUCAACUCUGACAUAGUGUAAAUGAAAGAAUGUGCACGAUAAAAAAAGUAAGAACUUGACUGGCCUGCAGAGAGCCCUGACUUCAACCCCAUCCAACACCUUUUGGAUCAGUUGGAAGGCCAACUGCAGGCCAGGCCUAAUCACCCAAUCAGUGCCCAACCUCACUAAUGCUCUUCUGGAUGAGUGGAAGCAAAUCCCUGCAGCAGUGCUCCAACAUCUAGUAUAAAGCCUUCCCAGAAGAAUGGAGGUUGCUAUUGCACCAAAGGGUGGACCAACUCCAUAUUAAUGCCCGUAAUUUUGGAUGAGAUGUUGGAUGUCGGGUGUCCACAUACCUUUACCAUGUAGUGUAUUUGCUGUUCCAGAUACUCAGCAUUUAAAAUCUGUGUAGAACAUGUUUUGCAGGUUCCCUGGACUGUUCGGGUGAAAUGGUAGGCAACCAACUUAAACGGUUGGGAAAAUUCAUCACAGCUAUGUAAAUCCUUCUAUAUUCGGUUCCAUGUUCACAUCAAAGGGUUACAGGUGUACAUGUGCACUGCCAGGUGUACUAAAAUGGUCUUUUGCUCCCAAUACCACACUGACUACCUGUAAAGUGUAAAUAUGUAAUGUGUAACUAUGGGGCGACAUAGCUCAGGAGGUAAGAGUGGUUUUCUGCUAGUCGGAGGGUUGCCGGUUUGAUCCCCCACCCUGGGCGUGUCGAAGUGUCCCCGAGCAAGACACCUAACCCCUAAUUGCUCCCAACAAGCUGAUUGGUACCUUGCAUGGCAGCCUUUCACCAUUGGGGUGUGAGUGUGUGUGUGAAUGAGUGAAUGAGAGGCAUCAAUUGUAAAGCACUUUGGAUAAAAAGCAGUCCAUUUACCAUCCAUUACCAUAUGUAGAGCAACACUGUUAUGCCGUUAUUCCUGUAGCACUUGAAGUGGACACUCAUGUUGUAUACAUGUUGUUGAAAUCUGUCUGGUCUAUUGUCAAAUAAAGCAGGGGUGUCUGUGGGUUUUUGUGGCUUCCCUUCAAUCAGCUGCCAGAUACAGUAAGGCAUUGAGAACGUGGUGUGUCGAUCAUUUGGCAAAUCGAUGAUUCAAAUUAACCACUGUUGCAGAGAACACCUCUUCAAGACAGGAGUUUGACUCCUGCGAUAUAAAGCAAUACUCAGAAGUGAACUCUGUCGCUCUUCCAUUGUUAACCCUCUAACACUUUAAUUCUUGCUGUGUACCUACUGCUGGUUUUGUUCCUGUCCUUUACAACUUACCUUUGGUUCCGUAAAUUUGCAGUGAUUUUGAUGUGUGGUCAUUCCUGAGUUUUUGCAGCCGGUGGCUCGUAACAGAAGCUCAGUGGACAAUAAUUUCGAUCCCUAGGUCAUAAAUAAAAUAAAACAUAACACAGUUUCUAAAAGGAUAACUCAAAAUUGCAUCUGCAGAUAACAAGAAUCUGUAAACAAGAAACAGGUUCACUAUUGCGCCAACAAGGUUACUGAUUUGCAAAUGGUCCGCAGACUGUUUACUCUAUUGCUUUUUCUCUGAAUCCAUGAAAGUCAAAAACAAUGUUAGAAUUGUACUUCUUCAAAUUCAUGGCAAAGCAGCUAUAUGUUUUGCAAAUGAUUACAUUUGCAUCUGGAAAUCGCUUUAUAAGAAUUUAUCAAUUUUCAAAUUAUGUAUGAUUGUUUCAGCUGUUGCAGCAUCCCUGGUUUGAUUUCAAAGUUUGAAGAAAAA